GACGUAGGGCGCGAGCGUUGUCCGGAUUUAUUGGGCGUAAAGAGCUCGUAGGCGGCUCGUUGCGUCGGCUGUGAAAACCCGCAGCUCAACUGUGGGCUUGCAGCCGAUACGGGCGGGCUGGGAUUCGGUAGGGGAGACUGGAAUUCCGCGUGUAGCAGUGAAAUGCGUAGAUAUGCGGAGGAACACCGAUGGACACGAAGGGCAAUCCCCUGGGCCUGCACUGACGCUCAUGCACGAAAGCGUGGGGAGCAAACAGG
rnacentral:rRNA from 1 species